UUUCGGGAUUUAUCUCUCCCUCCUCCCCUGAUCUCUCUCCCGCCGACGGGGCGGCGGUCUGGUGGGGAGGGCGCGCGCCAGAGGCGUGACCCGUAGACCCACCGGCUGGGGGAGCGCGCCCGGAGUCUGCGCUCAAGCCGGCGCCUUCUUCCCGUCCGACGCGGUGGCCCCGGUCGGUGGCGGCAGCGCCGCACACGGCGGAGCCGGCGCGGCCGAGAGGAGCUGAGGCGGAAGCACGCACGACGCAACGGCGGUGGCGACCGAUUCCCGGCGCCUCGGUGACGGCAUAGACGCGCACGUGCGCGCAAGCAAGCCGAAGCCCGCAUGGCGCCGCGGCGGUGAACACCACUGCCAUUUACGGAUAUUUACCAAAUUGAUAUUGGAGCUGAAAGCUGUGGGUUCUUCCAAUUUUUAGUGGAAGAACAGGCAACCGAGCUAGUCAUUGCACAGAAGUAAAAGGAGUUUCAACAGAUACAGAUCAAGAAGUGCUUUGUUGUUGAGGAUAUCUGGCUGCAAGGAGCAACGCUAUUCGUUGGCUCGUAAUCGCAUAUUGUACGCAAGAAUUUGUUACAAUCUGGCAAGUUGUUUUAGUGUGGAGCUAUGCAGAGUUGUCAAACGAAUGAUGUAAAUGAGAGGCGACAAUUUUGAAAUUGUUACGUUCCACAAGCAUUAGCUGUGGUAACGUACCUUGUUUGUACUAUAUAAUUAGGCUGGAAAAUGGAAUUGAUUAAUAUGCGUCC